rnacentral:pre_miRNA from 1 species
AGGACUUAACCCACAUGUGAACAGUGAGUGUGCCGUGUUCACAGUGGUUAAGUUCUGC